UGAGGAAUAUUGGUCAAUGGGCGAGAGCCUGAACCAGCCAAGUAGCGUGCAGGAUGACGGCCCUAUGGGUUGUAAACUGCUUUUAUGUGGGGAUAAAGUGCGCGACGUGUCGUGCAUUGCAGGUACCACAUGAAUAAGGACCGGCUAAUUCCGUGCCAGCAGCCGCGGUAAUACGGAAGGUCCAGGCGUUAUCCGGAUUUAUUGGGUUUAAAGGGAGCGUAGGCUGUCUAUUAAGCGUGUUGUGAAAUUUACCGGCUCAACCGGUGGCUUGCAGCGCGAACUGGUCGACUUGAGUAUGCAGGAAGUAGGCGGAAUUCAUGGUGUAGCGGUGAAAUGCUUAGAUAUCAUGAGGAACUCCGAUUGCGAAGGCAGCUUGCUGCAGUGCGACUGACGCUUAGGCUCGAAGGUGCGGGUAUCAAACAGGAUUAGAUACCCUGGUAGUCCGCACGGUAAACGAUGGAUGCCCGCUGUCCGCCCAUUCGUGGCGGGUGGCCAAGCGAAAGCGUUAAGCAUCCCACCUGGGGAGUACGCCGGCAACGGUGAAACUCAAAGGAAUUGACGGGGGCCCGCACAAGCGGAGGAACAUGUGGUUUAAUUCGAUGAUACGCGAGGAACCUUACCCGGGCUUGAACUGCCGGCGAACGAUACAGAGAUGUUGAGGCCCUUCGGGGCGCCGGUGGAGGUGCUGCAUGGUUGUCGUCAGCUCGUGCCGUGAGGUGUCGGCUUAAGUGCCAUAACGAGCGCAACCCCUCUCUUCAGUUGCCAUCAGGUGAUGCUGGGCACUCUGGAGACACUGCCACCGCAAGGUGUGAGGAAGGUGGGGAUGACGUCAAAUCAGCACGGCCCUUACGUCCGGGGCUACACACGUGUUACAAUGGGGCAUACAGAACGUCGGUUCAA
rnacentral:rRNA from 1 species